rnacentral:lncRNA from 1 species
AAGUGGAAACUCCAAGCCAACAAUUGGAGAGCUUGUUGAUGAAGUGUUGGCAGAGAAUAAAUCAGGAAGAUCUGAUUCUGAAUGAUGUAAGCUGUGAAUUCGUCGCGAACCAUUCAUUUGGCAGCUAGGUAAUGAGAAGUAGCUUGAUUCAGGAGUUGUUGGAGAGACAAAUGAUGGCGAAUAACCCCCUACCAGAUUGUCAUAGUCGAGAACCAUUCAUUUCGCAGCUAGGUAAUGAGAAGUAGCUUGAUUCAGGUGUUGUAGGGGAGACAAAUGAUGGUGAAUAACCUCCUACCAAAUUGUCAUCAACUUGUGACACUUGAAAAUGCAGAUUUUCGUCUACGAAACCAGAGAAUGUAGGUGAAAAUGGGAAAGAACAUGUUGUUUCUUUCUUGUUCAAGUCAUUAGUAUUCACUCUUAAAUUUGCUUGUAAGUUCGCGAGCAUCUGGUUCGAUCGUUCUAUUUUUGGAUAGUUGGCUUGUUUCUUGAAUUCAUGUUUCUCUGGUGAUGUUGGUUGUGCAGCAGAGUUAAAGGCUUGGUUACAAGUAUGUGAACCUUUAU